rnacentral:lncRNA from 1 species
AAGCGAGCAUCUGCAUCGUGUGGCCGCAGUUCGUCGAGACACCACAACCCAAUCCGUUUGGAUAGAUAGCUGGUCGCCCGCCCGCCUCCCUUCUUCCCACCACACCUCCAGUCCUCCACUGACAAGCCGCCGCCGCUCUUCCACCUACCUCUCCCCGGCCUCGCACCCAUGGCCACGGCUUUGAUGGUUGCAGCCACCACCUCCUGCUCCCCGGGCCGCGCCGCGCCGCGCCUGAAGCCGGUGGCCUCCUCCUCCUCCAGCAGCAGCAGCAGCUCGGCGCGGCCGCGGCGGCCCUUGGCGCAGCAGCUCCCGCGGCUGCUGGCAACGGCGGCGGCGGCGGCGGCGGUGGCAGCUGCGCCGCUCCCGGCGCUGGCGGAGCAGAUGGAGAAGGCCGCACUGUUUGACUUCAACCUGACGCUCCCGGCGAUCGCGACCGAGUUCCUGCUGCUCAUGGUGGCGCUGGACAAGCUCUACUUCACGCCGCUAGGCAAGUUCAUGGAUGAGCGGGACGCCAAGAUCCGCGGUGAGCUCGGCGAUGUCAAGGGCGCCUCCGAGGAGGUGAAGCAGCUGGAGGACCAGGCGGCGGCCAUCAUGAAGGCGGCGCGCGCCGAGAUCGCGGCGGCGCUUAACAAGAUGAAGAAGGAGACCACCGCGGAGCUGGAGGCCAAGCUGGACGAGGGGCGCAGCCGUGUGGAGGCCGAGCUCGUAGAGGCGCUCGCCAACCUCGAGGCGCAGAAGGAGGAGGCUGUUAAGGCGCUCGACGCCCAGAUCGCCUCGCUCAGUGAUGAGAUCGUCAAGAAGGUGCUCCCAUCCGCGUGAUGAAACCAAACCGGCCCUGCCUUAUCCUACGACUAUAGUUACAUGAACAUCAUAAAUUAAUGAUAAUUUUGAAGAAAUUGGCCGAUGACUCCGACACUGUACUCAUGAAAGAUUAUUGGAUGGGUUGUGUCCACCGCCUGUGUUGGGUGUGGAUUGUUGUAGACUCGCAGUGAUCUUUCUCGAUAAGCUUGUACAGUUCAGUACAUACAGACACACAUUGAAACCAUAUAGAUACAGGAUACAUUUUGCCCUAGUG